AAUCAACGCUGGCGGCGUGCCUAACACAUGCAAGUCGAACGCGAAAAUUCCUUCGGGAAUGAGUAGAGUGGCGUCCGGGUGAGUAACGCGUGGGUAAUCUACCUUCGGGUGGGGAAGUAACCAGGGAACUUGGGCUAAUACCGCAUAAUGCAGCGGCUCGACAUCGAGAUAGUUGUUAAAGCAGCAAUGCGCCUGAAGAAGAGCCUGCGUCUGAUUAGCNGUUGGUAGGGUAACGGCCUACCAAGGCUGCGAUCAGUAGCUGGUCUGAGAGGACGGCCAGCCACAAUGGCACUGAAACACGGGCCAUACUCCUACGGGAGGCAGCAGUGGGGAAUUUUGCGCAAUGGGCGAAAAGCCUGACGCAGCAACGCCGCGUGAAGGAUGAAAUCCCUCGGGAUGUAAACUUCGC
rnacentral:rRNA from 1 species